rnacentral:rRNA from 1 species
UACGUAGGGGCCUAGCGUUGUCCGGAAUUAUUGGGCGUAAAGAGCUCGUAGGCGGUUCGGCAAGUCGGAUGUGAAAUCUCCACGCUUAACGUGGAGGGGCCAUUCGAAACUGCUGUGACUCGAGUCCGGUAGGGGAGUGUGGAAUUCCCGGUGUAGCGGUGAAAUGCGCAGAUAUCGGGAGGAACACCAGUAGCGAAAGGCGGCACUCUGGGCCGGU